UCGACUUCAGUUCGACUUCUUUGUAAAUCGAGUGAAGUGUAGAAGGAAUGUUAUAUGGAACACGCGGAAGAAAACGGCUUUGGACUUUCGUGAGUGUGCGGGAACGGUAGUAGAUGCUUGGAAAGUGUGUCACGGCGGUUAAGGUCGGCUCGAUAAGCGAGCAACAUGAUUGCUCGUUAGCCCACUUCUCGAUCGAUGCUGGUUUGUUGAACUCAGUGCGUACCGUUAGCUUGAAAAGGCGGCCAUGACCUACUCUCCUCUUCCUCGUUGUCAACUCGAAAAAAUAACGAUGAAGAAGACGUUGCAGAAGAGAGGGUAAAAGGAAAGGAAAGAGAAACGGAAGAAGCAACUGGUCAAAUUCGUCGCAAACUCUGCAUCCUUAAUAAAUUAGAAAAGAAACCGUGGUCGACUUUGAAAAUGCGAGUAAGUUAAUGAUUCAGAAUUUGACCUGGACACGGAUAUUACCAUCACGGAAUGCGAUUUUACGUUUAGCAGAUAAUGAAAAUAAAAUCACGAAUGGCUUAGAGAUGACAUUGCGGUAUAUUUAUUAAGUGAUCUGAUCUAAUGCUCGGAGCAACAAGAUUUCAAUUUCGAUAACUGAAUUCGGGAUGCUGCAUUGGUACUUCUUAUUAGGAGAAUCUCGCUAAUCGCUCCUCUUUGCAAGGAAAAGCAAGCAGCGUCAGCAACGGCAGCGGCAGCAGGAGCCAGGAGCACGUGCAACGGCCGAGCAAGCCACUUCGGGAAGUUCGGUGAACGUAUCGCGUGUUACAGUUCAAUCGAAACUUAACGGGACCUAACAUCGCGACCUUGGAGGAUGCGAGGGAAACCAGUCUUGGACACGAUGUGCAACCGAUCGAAACAAGAACGUUCGUUCGAUCGUUUCUAUAAAAACAAAUGGAACGAAUUACUUGUUUACAUCGAAAAGAAAUUAUUGUUUCUUACUCAUUGUAGUUCAUUCUUUUCUCUUCGUUGAAAUUUAUUCAAAUAGUAUUCCAUCAGUAUGAUCUAUCAGUAUUCUCUAAAAAAAAAGAAAGCAAAGAACACGAUUGUUCAACAUUUUUCGUAAUUAGCAUUAAACUUUACGAUCUUCUUUACUUCUUACGUUUCAUGAAAUCGAU